rnacentral:rRNA from 1 species
GAACCUGAGAGUUUGAUCCUGGCUCAGAACGAACGCUGGCGGCAUGCCUAACACAUGCAAGUCGAACGAAGGCUUCGGCCUUAGUGGCGCACGGGUGAGUAACGCGUGGGAACCUGCCCUUUGGUUCGGAAUAACUCCGGGAAACUGGAGCUAAUACCGGAUGAGCCCAACCGCUGUGGAGGCGAUUGGGGAAAGAUUUAUCGCCGAAGGAGGGGCCCGCGUCCGAUUAGGUAGUUGGUGGGGUAAUGGCCUACCAAGCCGACGAUCGGUAGCUGGUCUGAGAGGAUGAUCAGCCACACUGGGACUGAGACACGGCCCAGACUCCUACGGGAGGCAGCAGUG